rnacentral:rRNA from 1 species
UACGGGAGGCAGCAGUGGGGAAUAUUGCACAAUGGGCGCAAGCCUGAUGCAGCCAUGCCGCGUGUAUGAAGAAGGCCUUCGGGUUGUAAAGUACUUUCAGCGGGGAGGAAGGGAGUAAAGUUAAUACCUUUGCUCAUUGACGUUACCCGCAGAAGAAGCACCGGCUAACUCCGUGCCAGCAGCCGCGGUAAUACGGAGGGUGCAAGCGUUAAUCGGAAUUACUGGGCGUAAAGCGCACGCAGGCGGUUUUGUUAAGUCAGAUGUGAAAUCCCCGGGCUCAACCUGGGAACUGCAUCUGAUACUGGCAAGCUUGAGUCUCGUAGAGGGGGUAGAAUUCCAGGUGUAGCGGUGAAAUGCGUAGAGAUCUGGAGGAAUACCGGUGGCGAAGGCGGCCCCUGGGACGAAGACUGACGCUCAGGGUGCGAAAGCGUGGGGAGCAAACAGGAUUAGGAUACC